rnacentral:rRNA from 1 species
UACGAAGGGGGCUAGCGUUGCUCGGAAUUACUGGGCGUAAAGCGCACGUAGGCGGUCUUUUAAGUCGGGGGUGAAAUCCUGGAGCUCAACUCCAGAACUGCCUUCGAUACUGGAAGACUUGAGUCCGGGAGAGGUGAGUGGAACUGCGAGUGUAGAGGUGAAAUUCGUAGAUAUUCGCAAGAACACCAGUGGCGAAGGCGGCUCACUGGCUCGACACUGACGCUGAGGCACGAAAGCGUGGGGAGCAAACAGG